GUAGUUAUUUAAACAAUACUGAAGCCUAAGCUACAGGGUUAAUGGUCAGUAUCCCGGAGAAUGGUGGUAUGCUGAAUAAUGGUCGUGUUCUGGGCUGGAGGAGCCUCCGCGGCCAAGUCGCUUCCUCCAAUACCUCCAUCCCACUUGGAUACGCCUUGCGGCGAGGCCUCGCCAGUAAGGAGAUUGAUACCUGCAGAAAUAGAAUACCACACUAAAUCUGUAAGGAACGUGAACAACACAGAAUCCUGCUCUAAUUGGAAUCGAGCAAGCGGCGAGUGCAGUGGGGAGUAGGAGCUACUGAUUACAAAAUGAGCCCUUAUCAGACAUGUGCAAUGGUUUCAUGAAGUACGUUAGCAUCUUGUGGAACAGGUGUGGAAUUUCUGUAGGUUUGAAUGGUAAAAGGCCACUAAGUAAGAUACAGUCCUGAUCAAUUUCUGCUUUUCCUUGAUCCUUUUCAAGACUACACAUGGUAAAUGAGCACACAGCGGGAGGUUUCAAUUUGUAUUCUUGAAGAAAUGCAGGGAUAAGGAUUACAGCCAUUACCUUAUAGCACCUUGAACACGUGGGUUCCUUAAAAAUCUCGAAAACAGAGUAGUGACUUCUUGAAGAUCUGCAGAUCGCAAUACAAAUGCCUCUACAUUUGUUAAGCACCUUACUUCUCGAUUGCUUAUCAUGUUGGGUCCUGGAAACCUGAGCUUUUUUCCAUCUGAGACAAAAAAACUUGCAUUAUUCUUAUUCAGAUCUAUUGUGGGCAGCAAGCUAACUCGUUUAGUGGCCUAUCCUUAAUCUAUCGAAAUAUAGGAUUCAGCACCAGAAAGGCAGGUAUACAAUACAUUGCAUAUUACAGUCAUUAAACAUCACAGAACUGGAAUUGCUUUGUUGAUGGUUCAAUUAGGCUUUGAAUAUAUUAUGCCAACAUGCAGAUUCAUGUGCCCAUUUCA